rnacentral:rRNA from 1 species
GACAGAGGGUGCAAACGUUGCUCGGAAUCACUGGGCGUAAAGGGCGUGUAGGCGGGCAGUAAAGUCAGAUGUGAAAUCCCUCGGCUCAACCAAGGAAGUGCAUCCGAAACUGCUGUGCUUGAGUACGAAAGAGGAUCGCGGAAUUCCCGGUGUAGAGGUGAAAUUCGUAGAUAUCGGGAGGAACACCAGUGGCGAAGGCGGCGAUCUGGGUCGAUACUGACGCUGAGGUGCGAAAGCGUGGGGAGCAAACAGG